GAGGGAUACUCUUCUGAAAGUGGAUUUUAAAAGAAAAAGCAGCUGAUUGGUCCCUGCUCUCUUCAGGCUUCUGCCAAGGAUGGACGGACUCUGCAGUGAGAAACAGACACAUCCCUCUAACUGAUAUCUCUGUGGGUUUUUUGCUGAGAGGAAAAAAAAGACUUACAAAGGCAAGGUAAAUGACAAUAAAAAGUAUUGACAUCUGCACUGGAUUCAGGAAAGUCCACUAAACUAGUACUUACAGGAAAAGCUGGCUGACUGGAAGAAACAGAUUUACUCAUUAUGGAAUCUACUGCUAAGAUUGAUGUUGUUACUAAAGAUGUGCCAGAAGAAUUAGACACACUGCUUGCUAGUUUUAAAAUGACUGGAGUAUCAAGCUAAGGGAAGAAAAAAAAUAUUGGCAGUUGAAGAGGCAUUAAAACAACUUGAACUAGAACUGCAUACAAAUCAUUUACAAGAUGUGGCAAGGCUUGGCCUAAAUAGCCAAGUGGUUAUGGUACUGGGUUUGUAACCCCAAAAUCAAGAGUUCAAAUCUCACAAUGGCAAACUACAAAACAAUGUAACUUCAUCUGAAACAGAUGGAAACGUGUUUGUACUUGAAAGAGUUACAAGAUGUGGCAAAGCAGAUAGCAACAGUAUUAAAAAGGCUGUGAUGAUAAAUGAAAGAAACAUGCAUCGAAGGAAAUUCAGAAAGCUGGAAAAACUCAAAUUAGAACUUCAGAAAGCAGCUAAAGCUGAAUUGGCAAAAGUUCAAACUCAGUGGAAAAAGUAUUACCAAGCUUUCUUAGCUGAACAUUGAAAUAAACAGAAUGGAGUUCUUAAAACAGCUAAAGAGGACUUAAAAAAACAGAAAAAAGGGACUUGCUUGCACAAAAGGAGGCAGAAUUAAACCUGUGUCUCCUGGAAAAGCAAAAGGAAUGGUCAGCUAUGAAAGAAAUUAAUUGAAAAUGCUUCCAAAUUUGAACAAUGUCGGUCAGUUGCAGAUGCAAUUCAGAAUAGACAUUAAAAAUCAUACGGACCUGGAAGAAAAUGGAGAUUGGGAGCUAGAACCUGAGCAGCAAGUCAGUUUUUGAAAUUGAAAGAACCGAGACCAGCAAAGGAAACCCUGAUGACAGCUUGGUGUCCGUCCAGCUUCAAAGAAGAGCAAUGGAAAUCGUUGAAUAUAGAGUACAAGAAGCAAUAGGAUUGCAAAUUUCUCCUUCAUAGCAGCUAGUACCCAGAAGGCAGAUGGAUUACCAGCAAUGUUGUUCUUGACAAGAUUAGCCAGACCAAACAAAUUGCAAGACCUCACGAAUGCUGUCCCGUAGCCCAGACUUCACACCCUAUGUAGAUUUUGGAAGGCAGCCACAAUGUGGACAAGUAGGAGCAAUGCUCAAUGUUGAAACAAGUGGACAAAGUGAUAAAAGUUGAACAAAGUAGAUGAGGAAGAACAGUGCUAAAUGUUGAACCAAGGAGGUCACAGCAUGGGGAAAAGAGAGAACCAAGGACAAUUAUUACAAAAAAACUGUAAAUGAUGAUAUCCUGUUGUACAAUUCCAUAAGUGUAUUAAGAGAAUCUAAAAGGCAACAUGAGGAAUACAGAACUGAAAAGGAAGCUCAGUUUAGGAAAUGAAUUGUCUGAACCUCAACUCAAAACAUUUACAACAAAAGCUGAGAAAUUUUAUACAAAAGAAAAACCAAAUACAAUGUGGUCUCUGGAAAAGAAAACUCAAGUCCUGAAUACCAGCUCUAUGAGGAACAAUGCAAGGAGCAACCACAGAAAUUUCAACAGGAAGGUCAGCAGCUCAAGGAAAAGCCAGAGAAAGUGUAUGGGCAGCUCCAGCACACUGUUCAUGAGCACAAAGAAAGCUCUUUUAAAGAACCAUAACGAUAAUGUAAAAUGAAAAAAGGAGUGGAUCUAAUUAGACGACAAAGAAAAUGAAUCAACGCACUGGAAAAAAAUUGUUUACAGGAAAUUUGAACUCCAAGAAUUCAUGCAAGUUGAUCUCUGAAUCCUAAUGAUCACAUUUGUUUGGUUAUUUGUUAAGCCCUUAUAAUUCUGUAAAUAUGAUAUCUAUAAUUGUGGAAUGAUAAAAAUGUUACCAAUGUAUAAGCAGCUAUGUUGAAAUGUUUAUGAUUAAGAAUUUGGCUGCUUUUUGAAACUUUUUCCCCCCUCCCACCAAAAAAAGCAGUACAGGGGAGGAAGGGUGAUGGAAUCUAUUUUGUUUUGGGUCAGACCCUAACUGACAGAAGAACUAAACCUUCAGGUUUCUAGGGGAAUGGGAACCAAAACUGAAAUGGAAACUCCAUGUUUCUGGAGAAACAAACUGGUUGAAACCAGAUAAAAGACCAGUGUUAUCCAAACUCAGAUACUGUGAGGUAGAGGAGGCAGUCUGAAGGGGCAGCAAAGCUGGAUCUGAGUGCAGAAAUAAAAGAAAAAUAGUUACUGCCAUGCUUCAGUUUUUUUUUUUAAAAUCAUAUUUUGACCAGCGCCAACAC